ensembl:misc_RNA Metazoa_SRP Metazoan signal recognition particle RNA
GGAGGAUCACUUGAGCCCGAGAGUGCUGGGCUGUAGUGGGCUGUGUGGUGUUGAUCAGGUUUCUGCACCAAGUUCAGCAUCAGAUAGUGAACUUCAAGGAGCUAGUGACCACAAGGUUGCCUAAGGAGGGGUGAAUAGACCCAGGUUGGAAAUGGAUCAUAUCAAAACUCCUGUGCUGAUCACUAGUGGGAUCAUGCCUGUGAAUAGCCACUACCCUCCAGCUUGGGCAACAAAACAAGACCC